CUGGAAUGAUGCAAAUUAGCCAAAUCAGACAUUAAUGCGCUCCAUGAGGCAACCAACAUUAUCUGUUUUAUCUUGCUCCCAUUGUCAAAGAAAAUCAUAUAGGCAUGUGAGUAAGCUUUUGAUCAUAUUGAUGACCCUCAUGUUGAAGCACAUUUCUCUGGUGAUCAACGAGGAGAUUGGUUAUUUUCCCUGACUAGA
rfam:Cicer arietinum chromosome Ca3, whole genome shotgun sequence.